UUUGGUGUUAUCUUUAUUUGCUGGAAUUUUCGUUCAUGAAUUGGUGUUAGCCUUUGUUAGCCUUCACGAAUCAUUAUCAGGUGAAUGUUUUUUCUGGAGUGUUAUAAUGUGAAACUAUCUAUAAACAUGGUGAUGUUUAUAAGCCUUUGUUAGCC